GACGGAGGAUGCGAGCGUUAUCCGGAAUUAUUGGGCGUAAGGCGUCCGUAGGCGGUUAUUCAAGUCUGCUGUCAAAGACUACAGCUUAACUGGGGAAAGGCAGUGGAAACUGAGGAACUGGAGUGGGGGAGGGGUAGAGGGAAUUCCCAGUGUAGCGGUGAAAUGCGUAGAUAUUGGGAAGAACACCAGUGGCGAAGGCGCUCUACUGGGCCGCAACUGACGCUGAGGGACGAAAGCUAGGGGAGCGAAAGGG
rnacentral:rRNA from 1 species